rnacentral:rRNA from 2 species
UACGAAGGGGGCUAGCGUUGUUCGGAUUUACUGGGCGUAAAGCGCACGUAGGCGGAUCGAUCAGUCAGGGGUGAAAUCCCAGGGCUCAACCCUGGAACUGCCUUUGAUACUGUCGAUCUGGAGUAUGGAAGAGGUGAGUGGAAUUCCGAGUGUAGAGGUGAAAUUCGUAGAUAUUCGGAGGAACACCAGUGGCGAAGGCGGCUCACUGGUCCAUUACUGACGCUGAGGUGCGAAAGCGUGGGGAGCAAACAGG